AAAGCAAUAGUUUAAAUCUCAAAAUAUUAGAUUUCGGGUCUUAAGAUUCUCCGAAGGGGGAUUGUUUUU
rnacentral:tRNA from 1 species